GCGAGGCGGAUGUUAUCCGGAACGCGAGUUCACAGGUGCAGGUGUGCCCAGAUGUAACACGCGAAAGCUUUGAAAAAGCUGGUUGAUCCUAGCUCCUGCACCCUGUGCCAGAAACAUCCGGACGGAGACGUGGCUUUGAGCUGGUGACGAAACUCCAGGAGCCAGGAGGCAGGUGCGGGUGUCAGGUGUCGUAGAUAGGUGUUUGGGGUGUUUUAGAUCUUCGAGCCUGGGUCUGUCUUCAUUCGGCGAAUACGUGGCCACGAUUACAAUACAAUCGCAAUAGUUUCGAACACUUGUGGAUCGAAGCAACUGUAACGAAUCGCAUACAUAUACGCGGCGACAGGUGUAUUUUUUUAAAGGUGAUAGUAGUCGUGGAAGGUGUGGAAAGAUUGAAAGAUUCAUUGAUCACACAGCAACACGGGACACUCGCUGUCUUGGAUACGCGCCUUCGGUCGUUCGAGUCGUUUAAGGUAAACACCGGUGUGUGCCACCGAUCGGCCGAGAUAUCUAGGUCAACAGGCAGUGGGCAGAGGCAACUAGUUGCGGCUGUAAUCGUUCCUGUAACCGAGGCCAGCGGGAGAUGUUAUGUUCUUUGUUGGUUGAAAGAAGGAAGAAGGAAGAGAUCGUUCGUGAUAAUCUAACACUGGACCAAUAAACGUCCGAGAUACCAGAGGCGGGAGGAUUUAUCUAAGAGGUGUCGGGAGAAGAACGGAGAGAAAUAGCUAGGCGAGGAAGGGGUCUAUUGUUCGUUAAGGUCGCGUCGCUCACGAUCGGAUUUCCUUGAUUACGGUUACGGUAUCGACGCGAAGGAACAGCAGCCGUGUUCUUUCCGGUGGAGGAAGAAAGUAAGAGAAUUUCGAUCAAUCUUGACCAAGCGACGCGAGACGCGUUAUCCUUCAUCCUCGCUCUGGACGCGACUUUUGCUGAUUAUACGCGCCGAUGACAACCGUGGAUUUAUUAUCAAUUUCCGUUAAUUAGAAUGAUCCUCGGAUGUUUACGUCUGUUCAUUCGAGUUGUUAGUUAAGGCGAAAGAACGAAGGAGAGGAAGAGGCAAAAAGACAAUAAAGUGUAUCAUAUCCGAGAAGAUCGAUGCCAAUUGGAAUAUUACAGAAAUGAUUAGUCGAUCCGUCUUUUAUCGUGUUUUGAAAUAUUUUUAUUCUCCUUAUUCGAUAUUCGUUAGUUAGAGUGUUUGUAGCAGUGAACGGGUAUUACCAAGGCCUAAUUAAGGAUUUAGUUUUGUAAUGAUUCAAGUGUCGUCGAUUACGCGAUAGAGUUUAGUGAUAAUUAUCUAGAGAGACGGUUUUGUAGGAGUGCUUAGAGCAAAGAUAACGGCCUUGAAACUUUUCCAUGCACGGAUCGGAAGACCGAGCUAGGCAAGAUGCUCUAUGCCUGACGGCGUGACUACAACUAAAGGUCGUGAUCGAUCGACUUACUUCGAUGGCCUAAAAGAACUUUAAACGUUCAAGGUCAUUAUGCAUAGCGAUAAAACGGAAACGUUGUAAAGUGCGGACAAGUCGGUUGGUUCGUUCGAUUGUUACGACACCUAGCUAUUUCCUCUGAAAUAGCGUAACGAACGAGUCCUAUUCUAUUCCACAGCAUUUGGCCAAGAAUCUAGUCUCAGUAGAAAAUCCUCGUUACAGGCCAGAUGAGGCGAUAGCGGAAUUCGUUAAUCCGCACGAUGUCGUGUCAAGGAUACUCAACCGAUCAAGAACGUCCUGGCAUUCGCGAAAUGUGCCACGCGCAUCCCUCCAUCUCUCUCGAGUUCUUACAGAGUUUUUAUAAGACUUCACAGACACCGUCGUGUUUAACGAAGCGACGAUAACGGAGGAUCGCUUCGUCAGGACUCAGGCUGUUCUCGUAUCACCCAUGCGUUGUAUCAUCUAAUUCCACUGUAAAAGCGGAACGUAAAUGCAACGGCGUCGGACCGAUAGAAUUAACGAAACCACGAAGCGUACCGAUCGUAUUCCUCGUCUCCACACGGUCCUAAACAUCGCACAGCCUAAAACCUCAGGUGGAUCAACAAAGGCAAAUCCUCGUCGAUCCUCGCUUUAAUUAACGCUUUGAUCAAACAACCUUUAGACCAGUCGCAAGCCAAAGUGUUCGCCAGAUGACACAGUUCGCUAAAUGAGAUCACCGAAGCGACCUGUCGAUUGAACGAUUCAGAAAGCUGCUACUUGCGGUCGAUGCGAAAGGAGGCUCGACAGUCGACCUCGCGAUCGAAACAGCUCCCGACCCCUUAGUAGUCGACGGACAAAAGCGGCCUGGCCGACGCUCGAUGAGUCCUAGUGAAGAUAAGGAUCCUCGAAAACCCUUGAUCGUUUGCCUGGAACGUCUGAAGAAGCUCCGGUUGGCACCUAUUUGAGAGCGGUCGGGUGAUGCGCGGGAGCAGCUCUGAACUCCUGCUGGAGGCGAGUUGCGUCCAGUGUCAGAGCGAUCAUCACGCCGGCCAGCACACCACCAGGCAUCAGCAGCAGCAUCAGCUAAACGAGAAACACGACUUCCAGGAGCGAGAGCUACGUCGUCGCAAACUGUUGGAGCUCGGGUUCGGCGCUUCGCGGCGCCGACCGCCACGGCGUACCUGCCGUCAGCGGUUCAACUUUUACGCCACCUCGGCGUUGGCAUUUGUCGCGACGUCCGGCGGUGCGGCCCUAUUAUUUUUGGUGCCGCUAUACGUCGAUCCGGCCAUCAGCACUCUGGCUGCCGAUUUCUCGCCAGAUCCGGUCAUCUGCACCACCUCCAGGCGCGAAGAACUCGCUGGCUUGUUCAACUGUACCUGGAGUUCCUGCCGCGAAGGAUGCACCAGUGACGUUUAUAGGUGUACGCAUAUAUACGUCACGUAUACACCAUGGAGCAAUACGAGCAUGAAGAAUGACACCGGGGGUAGAGGCAAUUCGGGCAACUCUACCGGCGUCACGCACACCUCAACCACUUCGGUGCCGACGCCAGGCGACGUGGAGGCGGUGCUCCUGGUGAACAUCAAGGGGUGCGGCUAUCCGCCGAUCGUCGACUGCGAAAACUUCACCCGCGAACUAGGCUACGAAGGCGCGAAAUUCCCCUGCCAUUACAGCCGCGUGAACGGCAGCAUAGUGAUGGCGAACUAUAACCGCGAGGCGCAGGUCACCACCAUCAUACACUUCUUCGCGGCGCCUUUCGUAGUGACUCUCGCGACCAGCGUCGCUCUGUGUGUGAUGCACUGUGACUGCAGAUGCAGUCCACCGCCACGGCAUUCGUCGCGAGGAAUAAGAAGAGGCAGGGGCAACGAUCUCAGAAUCGAGUUAUGUAAAUUCUGCAACAUACAUAUCGGCCGUUAGAACCGUCACUGUUAAUAUACUCGGUGUGAGUAUACACCAGCUUGGUCUACUUCCAUCGACAUUGCCAAAAAUCGUCCGACUUGCGACAAUGGUGUCGUCGGCAGAUCGGUCUUUCGAGCAAAGAUUCGACGCUACAGACGCGGCUGCGACGCAAUCGAGGAUGAAAGAUCGUCGUUUGCGAUUUUCAUCGACGCGCUUGUGCACGGAAAUCGAGACACGAGAUCGUCGUAUGGACGACGUGAUGGCGCGCGCGAAUUGCCGGAAGUUAUAGUCUCGCGAUGCACGGCUGCAGCUGGAACGCAUGGAGCACUGAGAAGAUCCGGGCUCCACGGUAAAAGUUCUCGCGGAAGUUAGAAAUGCAAAUUCCUGAUAACCGCGCUGAAGCGGAAUCUCGUUUUUUGAGAAGGGUGAGAGCAGGAGAAGCAGAAAGAAUUUUUUGGAGUCUUUCGGCGAGCUAGACUCGUAUCGAUGAACGGCGUACAUUAUGCUUGAACGAAUGUAUGUAACUGUGGUGUAUCAUUGAAUGUAAUA